ACAACGCAAAAUGACAACAAAAGACAUUAAAUCUCCACUAAACAGCCACAAACAGUGACAACAAAUAAAUGGAGAAUGAUCGCAAAGAGGCAAAAUAGCCAUAAAAGGGAAAAAAAAAAUAAACAAUUCUACAAAGAGGGACAAUGUGACAAAUGUGUAAAAUGAUCAGAGUUACAGAGUAGCUAAAAAGACCGAAAGUCCCAGAGAGACAACUGAACUAUAAAGACAUAAGACUCCAAAGACACAAAGGAAACACAAAAAGACGACACAAAGUAACUACAUAGAUAUAGCAUCUAUGAGGACCUGCCAAAUAAUUAACUACAGACACAAAACAACCACAGACACAAAACAACCACAGACAAAGCAUCUACAAAGAAGCACAAAAUGUCUAUCCAGAGAAUCGAAAUAACUACAGAGAGCCUGAAAAUGACAACAAAGAAGCACAAAUGACUAAAAAGUUUAAGAAAAUGACAAAAAAGUAAAAACAUACAGCUGACAACCCAACGGGGAACCUGGACAUAAAUGGAGGCCGGAUGACUGAGGAGAUGCAGCUCUGGACUGGAGGCUUCUUCAUGUCUGAACCGUCCAGCACCACAGCAGCCGUUGUGUUCCUUCUGAUUGUGCGUGUUUUGUCAUGUUCAGACUCACAUCCAUGGAGGUCAGGGGUCAGACAGACGAGCAGCGUCUCUCCUCGCUGAGGAAUGAGGCUGCAGUGAUGGAUAACCUUCUCCAGGCUAAGUGUUGGCGCACGUCGCAGCCACAAAUUACAUCUUAAUGAUUCUCUUUACAGAUCAUCACCCAGAGGAGGGAAGCAGGGAGGGAUACGACUGCUGCCCUCCGACGCUGCUCGGCCUAAACGUUGCUGGGUAUGAUGGAGGAGAAAUUAGGGGCAACAGAGCAAGAAGAUGGUUUGUGUGUUGGCUGUGGAAGAAAGACGGAUGGUGUUUAAUUGGUCCUACAGCAUACAAGCCUUAAUGAGCUGUACAGUGGUAGGAUUUGAAUCCACACCUCAGAAGAGAUUGGAGUCUUGAUCCACACCUCAGAUCCCUCAGCCACACUACCCUGCGAUACACUGAGGAGGUGAAAGGCCCUGACAGACCUGGAGGCAGCAUCCUGUGGAUUGCAGAGCUGAAAAGACACAAGGCCUUUACAGAAGCAGCUGGAGCAAUCGAUGGCUGCCAUGCAGGCAUCAAUGCCGUGGAGCGGAUCUAAUGGUCAGUGGAAAAGGAAACUGCUCCAUUCUGUGCUGCUGCAGGCUGCUUGUUGCCAUUAUUGUGUUGUUUGGGACCAUGACUGACUCUUAUGUGGGUUGGUCUGGGUUAGUCCAUAACUCCAGAGUGCUCCGUCACAGUCCACUGUACAGGACGCUUUAUCCUUUCAGGUGGAGGCUAUUCAUGCCUGCUACACCCACGACCUCCCAUCACUCCCCAAAGUGGCCUGUACAGCAUGUGGGCGCCAUCAAAGGCCUUUAGUGGCCAUCAGUCCAGGGAACACUCCAUUGUAUGCUUGUAUUGGAUGCUUUUUGGAUGAUGAAGACCUGGAGCUGCACCACACCUUCAUACCUCACACAAGUAAUCACUCAGAGGGUUUUAUUUUGCUAUACUGCAAAAAAAAAAAGUGAAUCAAACAGGAUGAAUUAUAUUUACAGGAGGUUUUUUUUGUACCUGUGCCUAUCCAAUUUAUUUUGUAAAUCAAGCAAAAAGCACAUUUAACAACAGCGGAUCGUCCACUGUCUCUGUCUCCCUGCUGGCUGGUUUUCCUCCUCCUGGUCAUCCACUGCUGUAUUUGGCCCUGGUUUGUCUACAGGGAUGGAGGUAAUUAGGCCGGGGGUGGUGGAAUGUCUCUGUCCCAGCACUAACACCUCAUCCAGGAAGAGAAACCACGGCCAAGAUGCAGCAGUGGGUUUAACUGAUCCAACGUUUGUGUAGAGGAAAUCAAUCAGGGCAGUUAACAACAGAACAACUCAUUUCAGCACAAGGGUAGGUGGGUAUGAACCUACACGAUUAAAAUAAGUGCAGUUUUCAUUUUAAAUCACAUGUACAAAGUUCUGAUUGCAGAUUUAAAACCAUCAUGUUGACUCAGAGAGGCAAACUUAGAAAGAUUAUAAAAGACGACACAACAGGACAGAUCCUGAAUCCUCCAGAAAUUAAGAAGUCAUUAACUUUGAUGCCUCAGGUAAAAGAUUAUGAAUCAGCUUUUGUUGCCAUACCUCCAGGCAACACGGGCCAAAUGUUCUGCCUCAGUGAACAGAUCGCUGUUUUACACCCUCAGGUUGAUAUUCGGAGCUGUCGGCUUCCUGCUGUCUAAAACAAAACUAAAUGUUAGAUCAGGUUUUCCUUCACACCACCAAAAGAAAGCAUCUUAACUUGAGUAUAUGCUAAUUAUCAUCAUUUACACUCGACCAAGCAGGAUUUACAAUUUGUCCACUUUGGUCCAUUAAUGAAUAUAAUAUGAAAAAUCGAGUCUGUUUACUUAUUUAGCACAUUUACACAGAGCUAAAAUACUGACAAAAUACUGCAAGAUGCUGAACAUAAAAAGUAAAAAAAGAAAACAGCUCCUUAACAACAACAACCAAGCUUCCUUAUUUUGAGUCUCAUGUGAUGUCCACAAUCAGAAUCAUUAAAGGUUUAGACUGAGACAACUGUCCUCAAAGUGAUGAAUGCAACUAGUUAAACAAUUAACAGAAAUUACAAUUUAUCAUAAAUUAUUUAAUUACCUAAUGUCUAACUAAUUUAAAUUUUAAUGAUAUUUUAAUUUGUAAAUAUUACUGUAAAUAUGCACAUUUUUAGUGCAUUUAUUGUACAAAUCACUACCAAAAUAUGAAAAUAUAUGUGCAUUUUAUAUAAAUAAGAACUGUGGCUACAUCUUGAUACUGUUAGAUUAGCUACUAUAAUGCAAAACAGGUAGAAACACAGCUGACUCUGCAGUACAAGGAUUAUAUCCAACAGAGUGGGGCCUUUAAUGAUACAUAUCAUUUUAUUAGCUUCAGCAAAAAACAGCUAAUAUGCAUUUAAACAGACAAAAGUGCACAACAAAAUAAAACUCAAUCAAAACAUAACAAUAUAUUUAUUCGGACCUCCAAGUGCUAAAUGUCAAUUAAUACAAAAUUAAUUGACUGCCUUCAUGCUGGGA